rnacentral:rRNA from 1 species
UGGGGAAUUUUGGACAAUGGGCGAAAGCCUGAUCCAGCAAUGCCGCGUGCAGGAAGAAGGCCUUCGGGUUGUAAACUGCUUUUGUACGGAACGAAAAGGCUCUUUCUAAUAAAGAGGGCCCAUGACGGUACCGUAAGAAUAAGCACCGGCUAACUACGUGCCAGCAGCCGCGGUAAUACGUAGGGUGCGAGCGUUAAUCGGAAUUACUGGGCGUAAAGCGUGCGCAGGCGGUUCUAUAAGACAGAUGUGAAAUCCCCGGGCUCAACCUGGGAACUGCAUUUGUGACUGCAAGGCUAGAGUACGGUAGAGGGGGAUGGAAUUCCGCGUGUAGCAGUGAAAUGCGUAGAUAUGCGGAGGAACACCAAUGGCGAAGGCAAUCCCCUGGACCUGUACUGACGCUCAUGCACGAAAGCGUGGGGAGCAAACAGGAUUAGAUACCCAAGUAGUCCCUGAGCGGGCUGGCAAGGCGCAU